rnacentral:lncRNA from 1 species
GUGCCUGGGAUUGAACCUAGGGGUGCCUAACCCUGAGAAACAUCGCCAACCUUUUAAAUAUUUUAUUUACAGACACAGUCUCAACUGAGUUACUUAGGGCCUUGUUAAGCUGCUGAGGCUGGCUUUGAACUCACGAUCUUUCUGUGUCAGCCUCACGAGCCACCAGGAUUACAGGCCUGCACCACUGCUCUUGCCAAUCAGAAGGCUCUUUUCUUGUUGGUUUCUAUGACAGUCCAAAGAUACUUCUUGGGUGCCCAGUGACUGUCAUCUUCAGAUGUCCGCUUCUUACUUGCUGUCCCUCUGUGCUGCACAUGGUACUGGGACAAUGAGGCAAAACUGCAGUCCCUUCCCUGAAAGGCUCAUGGUGCAGAGGGACAGUAGACCUAGAAUGACAAGAUAGAACAGACUGAAACACUUUUCAGUGUGCACUCUGGGUUCAGAGUGAGCAGCCACCUGCUUAAACCUUCCUGGGAGGCUCUGGGCUGCAGGAGACCUCAAAAAGGAGACUGUUGAAUUAGAACUUGGUAGCUGGGAAUCAACUUGUUAAGUAGAGGGAAGCCUGGACAUGUUGAUGGGAGCAGUGGGGAAGAGGACGGAGUCUGAUGUGGCCUGCUCUUACAUAUAGGUGCAUAGAAAAGGGAAAUGGAGCUGUUGGUGUUGGCAGGAACCAGAAGAUUAUUGGGGUGUGGGGUGGGGGGAUGGUUUCAAUAUUAG